UACGGAGGUUGCAAGCGUUGUUCGGAAUGACUGGGCGUAAAGGGAGCGCAGGCGGCCAAGUCAGUCUGAAGUGAAAGCCCGGGGCUUAACCCCGGAAUAGCUUUGGAUACUGCCUGGCUUGAGUGUGCGAUAGGAAAGCGGAAUUCCAGGUGUAGCGGUGAAAUGCGUAGAUAUCUGGAGGAACACCGGUGGCGAAAGCGGCUUUCUGGCGCAUAACUGACGCUGAGGCUCGAAAGCGUGGGGAGCGAACGGGAUUAGAUACC
rnacentral:rRNA from 1 species